UCUUACAAAUAACCCCCUUCCGUCAACAAACGGUUUAAAAACUAACGGUUAUUUAGUCAUUGAUGUAAAUCAAAAUGUCAAAUUUGCCCCUUUUGCAUAGACAAAAACUCCCUUGAUAUUAUUUGUUGUUCUCUCUCUCUGGAGUUGGAGUGGAAAGAUCUGGGCUUUUAGUUCUGGUCAAUGUCAGUCCUUUUUCUGCAUGCGAGGAGCCCAUUUGCAAACCCUAGGUGGGCUUUCAAGCUAGACAUGUAAAAUCAUCAGAAGCCCUUUUGCUUUUGGAUUAAGAUGAACAAAAAUAUUCAUACCAAGCCCCGAGCAGCUCACUCUUACAGUUGCUGUUUGAUGGCGAAUAGGCUCCCCUCCUUGCAGUAAUGGUGUUUGACCAAUUGCAACUUCUACAUAGUUCAGGAGUAUUUACAACUCUUAUCGGAUAAUCUGCAACUUGGUAAUAGUUGGAGAUAUACUCAAAUAUAUCAGCGAUUUAGGAUGUACUCAAAUAUAUCAGGUAAUUUAAGACUUUACAAAUGUGAUCAUUUUUUUUUGUUUUUUUGUGAAUUUUCUAAUUUUGUAUAAUUUUUUACAAGAUAUGCAGUGAAUUAUUUCUUAUCAACAGUGAAUCCAUGCUAGGUUAUGCUGAUUAUUAGAAUUUAGUAACUCUUGUGGCUGAAUUAUGUUAAGGAAAAAUGAUCUAGUUCAAUAUCGUCUC